GACGUAGGAGGCGAGCGUUAUCCGGAUUCACUGGGCGUAAAGCGUGCGCAGGCGGUUCUCCAAGUCCGUUGUGAAAGCCCCGGGCUCAACCUGGGAAUGGCAGUGGAAACUAGGGGACUUGAAUCUGGCAGAGGGGGGUGGAAUUCCACGUGUAGCAGUGAAAUGCGUAGAGAUGUGGAGGAACACCGAUGGCGAAGGCAGCCCCCUGGGCUGAGAUUGACGCUCAGGCACGAAAGCGUGGGGAGCAAACAGG
rnacentral:rRNA from 1 species